UCCCGACGGCUCGGAGGGCGGCGGGGUCGCCCAGGUCCCCGAGGCUUGACCUUAGCCGGGGCGGUCUCUACACCCAGGCUUGGGCCGCAGGACCUCCUCCUAGCGCACUCCCUCUCCCAGGCACUUCGCCGAGUCCCUGCGGGCGGAAGAGGGAAGCGGGACGCGCCCGCGCUUCGCGCCCUUUCGCCUGCACCGGCUCUCAGGUGUCAGAGCUUCCGCGCCCCGGGAGCUGCUGCUCAGGCUUUUCCGAAGAGGCGGGGCGGGGGGCCUCUCACUGCCCCACACUCCACAUCCUGGGAAGCCCCGGCAUCCGCCCCCCGACCUAGGUCGCCACAGCUUCCCUGCCUUGUCCCAGCCGAUUGUGCGGCGGAGCAGGCGCGCGGCCACAGCUCUCCCCGCCCCGCCGCGCCGACCCGGACUUAUGGGCAGGCCCCAGACGCCCGAGGCCGGGGGCGCCCCUCGCCUCUUCCUCGGCCUCAGGGACACUUGCGAAACGUGGAUCUAAAGAAAGUCCUU
rnacentral:lncRNA from 1 species